UUAAAGGCCACCGGUUCAAACCGGUGGCAUUUUUUUAAAAAAAAACCCGGCCGUUUUUUCCCUUCCCUACUCAUUCUCUUAAUCUCUUUCCCUUUCUUUUUUUAUUUUGAUUCUCUCUCCUCAUAUGUCGCUCCUCCUCUCUCUCUCUCCUUAACCAAACCCACUGAAGCUCCAUUGAAGCUCCGUCUGCAAGAUUAGAUAUGAAAUCUUUAUUGAAGCUCCGUCCCUUCUUCUCCCUUCUUCUCCCUUGAACUCCCUUCUCUCUUCAUUGAAGCGUAGAACCAAGCAUAAUGGCGGUGGUCGGUGGUCGGUGGUCAGUGGUCAUUAUAACCAAGCACAAGGACGGUGGCCGGUGAUGGUAAUGGUGGAGGCUGAUUUAUAGGGUUCAGAUUGGUGUUUGUGGUUUAUGGAGAUUGAUUCUGGAGCAUGGUCUGGGAUUGAAGAUACUGCCGGCGCUUCACAUUCUACUCAUCAUGUUGGAGCGGUCAUUCACUUUCUCUUUCUCCUGUUCUUUUUAUAUUAUUCAUAUUCAUAUUAUAUGGAAUUAUGGAUUACAUAUUCUAAUAUUCUGUUUUGAUUCCCUUUUUUUCCAAAGAGUCUUCGACAUUUGAAUGCAUGAUUAUUUCAUUAAUAACACAUCACUCAUUGUUAGUGAUUCUUUGUAAGGCUAAUUUAAUAUUUAGGGUCUCUAUAACAUGUUACAAAUUAUGUUCAUUAAUUUUUCAUAUAAUGAUUUCGACACUAAUUUAAUAAUUUAAUCUUAACAUCUAAUACCAAAUAUUCAAUUGACCUUAACGUUUGAGUGAUAUGGAUUCAUUGAUUAAGGUUUUUAGGUAGCAUAAUUUGAGUUGGCAACAACCCUAUUUUUAUAACAACUUGGUAAUAUGGAUAUGACUAUAUGAGCUUGAUAUUUAUAUCAUUUUCUAUUAUGUUUUUAUUUUUUUUGUCUUUUCUGAAUUUAAUCAUCUGUGUUUCUUACCUUUGAAUGAAAAUUACAGCUUCAUUUAGUAUUAAUGCAUGCCUUUUAUUUUAUAAUCUCUUAUAAUUUUUGUUACUACUUGUGACUCAUGGAAGUAUCUGAGACUGCUUUCAGAAGAAAGGGAGGAAAGUUCCUCCGGAAAAAAGGAUCAAGAGCUUGCUUUGGCAAAAGGUGUUGAUUGUAUGAAGGCUAGCAUGGAAGCUUCUACCAAUUUUGUAAAUAAGAAUGAUAAACAACGUGAGUAUCAACACUAUAGGUAUUGUACGAGGUUCGGGUCUUGAUAUGGAAGGAUUAUUAAGGUGGAAGAUGCAUUUGGAGCAAGCUUAUAGCAUUGGGACUUCAAGGUGCAAGGAAGUAGAUUCUCCAAGUUCUAGCUCUUGCGCUCUCAAGCCGUGCUCUCAUGAGGAUGUGGUGUUAAACCCACUGUCAAGUGCUUUUAGUUACUGCCUCUUCAUAAAUGCGCGUUCACUCGAAGUCCCUUAGCGAACACACGAAGCCUCGAGAAGAACCGUAGAAACCUAGAGGAGCGCGGGCGCGCAUCCCAGCUGAGUGGGCAUACCUUCUCGGGUUCCUAUUUUUGCUCGAUUUCAUUUCGUGCCUCGUAUAAAUUUCUACUUGUAACCCGAUAUUUGUAAUUAGAAUUCAUAAUUUUUGCUUAGUUGAGAGCUUCUCUCUCUAGAUUUAGGGUUAGUUUAGGAGUAGAUUUUAGAGAGAGAAAUUGAGGAAUUUCA